rnacentral:lncRNA from 1 species
AACCAUUAGCUUCAGGUUUUGGUGCAAGCCAUUCUUGUGCACCAUAGCUAGGUGCCGCAGCACCAUCAACCACUUUUUCUAUGACAAAGUUUGAAAAUAUGCCAUUAGCCUUGCGAGAACCAAUAGAUCGAGGCUGUUGCAAAAGCCAUCCGUGUGCACCAGAGCUAGAACCACUAGUAUUCAUUUUCUCAUUAAAGGUAUUCGAAAAAAUGCCACCAGCCUCAAGAGAACCGUCAACUUGGGUUGGUAGUGGACGCCAUUCUUGUGCAGCAGAGCUAGAGGCCACACCACCGUCAGGAAUCACUUUCUCUUUGCCAGUAGCCAUAUUGGAGUUUAUGUUGCUAGCCAACUGCACCAGUUCCCAGGCUUUUUCAGCCGGAAAAUCGUCAAAUACAAGAACUCUACCCGCAUAAAACAUUGUCAAUGGAGCAUUGUUAGGCGCCAU